rnacentral:rRNA from 1 species
CUGCAGUCUGCAACUCGACUGCACGAAGCUGGAAUCGCUAGUAAUCGCGGAUCAGCACGCCGCGGUGAAUACGUUCCCGGGCCUUGUACACACCGCCCGUCACACCAUGGAAGUCUGCAAUGCCCGAAGCCGGUGGCCUAACCACUUAUGUGGAAGGAGCCGUCUAAGGCAGGGCAGAUGACUGGGGUGAAGUCGUAACAAGGUAUC